rnacentral:rRNA from 1 species
AUUGAACGCUGGCGGCAGGCCUAACACAUGCAAGUCGAGCGGAUGAAGGGAGCUUGCUCCUGGAUUCAGCGGCGGACGGGUGAGUAAUGCCUAGGAAUCUGCCUGGUAGUGGGGGAUAACGUCCGGAAACGGGCGCUAAUACCGCAUACGUCCUGAGGGAGAAAGUGGGGGAUCUUCGGACCUCACGCUAUCAGAUGAGCCUAGGUCGGAUUAGCUAGUUGGUGGGGUAAAGGCCUACCAAGGCGGCGAUGCGUAACUGGUCUGAGAGGAUGAUCAGUCACACUGGAACUGAGACACGGUCCAGACUCCUACGGGAGGCAGCAGUGGGGAAUAUUGGACAAUGGGCGAAAGCCUGAUCCAGCCAUGCCGCGUGUGUGAAGAAGGUCUUCGGAUUGUAAAGCACUUUAAGUUGGGAGGAAGGGCAGUAAGUUAAUACCUUGCUGUUUUGACGUUACCAACAGAAUAAGCACCGGCUAACUUCGUG